CAGCAGUUGUAGUUGUAGUGGCAGGCUCACUGGCGUACUACAGUUGCUCGCCAGCUCAACCAUGGCUUUAAUAAUGCGGGUACUUCAAUUGUCUCUACUCCUUGAUGUGGGGUGUCAAGUACAUGCUUACAGGAUCGGAUAUGCUGAGCCGGAGAUGCCUACGUAUGGGCUGCAGCAGCCUCCUAGCUACAAUUCCCAGCAGGAAGCUACUAGCUACAAGCGCGAGCAGCAGCAGCAUCCUAGCUACAAGCCCCAGCAACAGCAGCAACAUGCUAGCUACAAGCCCCAGCAUCCUAGCUACAAGCCCCAGCAGAAGCAUCCUAGCGACAAGCCGCAGCAGCAGCAUCC